ACAAGCGGUGGAGCAUGUGGUUAAUUCGAAGCAACGCGAAGAACUUACCAGGCCUUGACAUGCAGAGAACUUUCCAGAGAUGGAUUGGUGCCUUCGGGAACUCUGACACAGGUGCUGCAUGGCUGUCAUCAGCUCGUGUCGUGAGAUGUUGGGUUAAGUCCGUAACGAGCGCAACCCUUGUCCUUAGUUACCAGCACGUUAUGGUGGGCACUCUAAGGAGACUGCCGGUGACAAACCGGAGGAAGGUGGGGAUGACGUCAAGUCAUCAUGGCCCUUACGGCCUGGGCUACACACGUGCUACAAUGGUCGGUACAAAGGGUUGCCAAGCCGCGAGGUGGAGCUAAUCCCAUAAAACCGAUCGUAGUCCGGAUCGCAGUCUGCAACUCGACUGCGUGAAGUCGGAAUCGCUAGUAAUCGUGAAUCAGAAUGUCACGGUGAAUACGUUCCCGGGCCUU
rnacentral:rRNA from 1 species